rnacentral:snoRNA from 1 species
UGGUGGACUGAGAAGAAGGCAGCUCUGUACCAUGCUGCCGUCCACUGGUUAAGGCCUCCGAAAGUGAAGGGUCGCCGGGGCAGAGGAUGCCCCUCUGCCACCGUCAGAGGGGCAGUGCCCUGCUGGCUGACACUGA